rnacentral:rRNA from 1 species
CAGCCGCCGCGGUAAUACGUAGGGUGCGAGCGUUAAUCGGAAUUACUGGGCGUAAAGCGUGCGCAGGCGGUUCGUUAAGACAGAUGUGAAAUCCCCGGGCUUAACCUGGGAACUGCAUUUGUGACUGGCGAGCUAGAGUAUGGCAGAGGGGGGUAGAAUUCCACGUGUAGCAGUGAAAUGCGUAGAGAUGUGGAGGAAUACCGAUGGCGAAGGCAGCCCCCUGGGCCAAUACUGACGCUCAUGCACGAAAGCGUGGGGAGCAAACAGGAUUAGAUACCCGCGUAGUCCCUGUCUCUUAUAC